rnacentral:rRNA from 1 species
GUCUUAUUGAUUAUAAUUUUAAGUCUAAUCUGCCCAAUGAUAAAUUAAAUGGCUGCAGUAUUCUAACUGUACAAAGGUAGCAUAAUAAUUAGUUUCUUAAUUAGGAACUGGAAUGAAUGAUUGGACGAAAUAAUGACUGUCUUAGUUUAAAUUUUAGAAUUUUAUUUUUAAGUUAAAAAGCUUAAAUUUUUUUAAAAGACGAGAAGACCCUAUAGAAUUUUAUAUUAUUUAAAUUUUUUAUUAUUAGAAUUUUAAUAUAGGAAAUUGUAAAGAGUAUUUAGUUGGGGUGAUUGAAAAAUUUAAUUAACUUUUUUUUUUGUUUAACAUUAAUUUAUGAAUUUUUGAUCCAUAUUUUUUGAUUAUAAGAUUAAAUUACCUUAGGGAUAACAGCGUAAUUUUUUUAGAGAGUUCAAAUCGAUAGAAGAGAUUGCGACCUCGAUGUUGGAUUAAAGUUUACUUUUAAUGCAGGAGUUAAAAUAUUAGGUCUGUUCGACCUUUAAAACUU